rnacentral:lncRNA from 1 species
AAUAAAGUAAGUUUAGUGGAGCCUGCACAAUAAGAGAAAAGUCUGUCACUAAUGCUAAAUAUGCACAAUAAUCUGUUAUCACAACAAGAAAAAUUGACAACAAAUGCAAGCAUUGGGAGAAACUUUUUUUGGAAAGUGCUGUUUAUGAAAAAAGAGUACAGAAGUAACCUGAUGAAAAUUAUGAUAGUGACUCACAAGAUUUUAAUGAACAUCAAAAAUUAAAAAUAUCUUGUCUGCAGACACCUGUCUCUGUAUGAAACAAAAGUAAAACGAGACUGGAAAAAGUGAUCAUCAUUACCUCUGUGAUUAAGAAGCAAUACGAAGAAAUUUGCUGACAAAAGAUACCACAUACAGCGAAAUUUAAAAGGCAGUUGUGGCUUUUUUUUCUGGAGCUCUAGACAGAAAUAGAGGCAGAAAAGAAGGAGCAGAAAAAAAGUCCAUC